AUUGAACGCUGGCGGCAGGCAUAACACAUGCAAGUCGAGCGAGCGGCGGACGGGGGAGUAAUGUCUGGGAAACUGCCUGAUGGAGGGGGAUAACUACUGGAUACGGUAGCUAAUCCCGCAUACCAUCAGAUGUGCCCAGAGGGGAUUAGCUAGUAGGUGGGGUAACGGCUCACCUAGGCGACUAUCCCUAGCUGGUCUGAGAGGAUGACCAGCCAGACUGGAACUGAGACACGGUCCAGACUCCUACGGGAGGCAGCAGUGGGGAAUAUUGCACAAUGGGCGCAAGGCUGAUGCAGCCAUGACGCGUGUGUGAAGAAGGCCUUCGGGUUGUAAAGCACUUUCAGCGGGGAGGCGUUACCCGCAGAAGAAGCACCGGCUAACUCCGUGCCAGCAGCCGCGGUAAUAC
rnacentral:rRNA from 1 species